CAAAGCGAGUGCAGCGUGUUAGCAGACCGUCUCAAUAUUAUUUUCUUAAAUCUAACUUAAUUAUUAUACUACCUAGUGGAUUAACUAAAACUUAUAUCUAAAUUGUUACUACUUAGCUAGGGUGUAUACCAAUCACGAGUAUAGUACGGAUAGGUUAGUGAUUAGUACGUACAUAGUUCAAGCAGGAUCAUAUAUCGCACGUUCAGGUGCUUAUGACUGAUUAGGAAAACUACUGUACUAGAGCUACGUCAUACCUGCGGGUUAGGAUACGCCGUUGCCCGACAGCUAGAAAUACUAAGCGUAAGUGAAAUCUAAUCUAUACUUAACCUAAUUCUUACAUUGUUUACUUAUAUACUAGGAAUUUUAUAAUCCUAAUAAAGAAAUUCGAGGAUUUAUAAAACUUAAUUAUUUUCUGUCGCUGUCGA